GACGAACGCUGGCGGCGUGCUUAACACAUGCAAGUCGAACGGAAAGGCUCCAGCUUGCUGGAGUACUCGAGUGGCGAACGGGUGAGUAACACGUGGGUAAUCUGCCCUGCACUCUGGGAUAAGCCUGGGAAACUGGGUCUAAUACUGGAUAUGACCUUUCUCCUUAUGGGGUUUGGUGGAAAGUUUUUCGGUGUAGGAUGAGCCCGCGGCCUAUCAGCUUGUUGGUGGGGUGAUGGCCUACCAAGGCGACGACGGGUAGCCGGCCUGAGAGGGUGAUCGGCCACAUUGGGACUGAGAUACGGACCAGACUCCUACGGGAGGCAGCAGUGGGGAAUAUUGCACAAUGGGCGGAAGCCUGAUGCAGCGACGCCGCGUGAGGGAUGACGGCCUUCGGGUUGUAAAACUCUUUCAGCAGGGACGAAGCGUAAGUGACGGUACCUGCAGAAGAAGCACCGGCUAACUAUGUG
rnacentral:rRNA from 1 species